rnacentral:rRNA from 1 species
AUUGAACGCUGGCGGCAGGCCUAACACAUGCAAGUCGAGCGAGCGGCGGACGGGUGAGUAAUGUCUGGGAAACUGGCUGAUGGAGGGGGAUAACUACUGGAAACGGUAGCUAAUACCGCAUACCCUCAGAUGUGCCCAGAUGGGAGUAGCUCGUAGGUGGGGUAAUGGGUCACCUAGGCGCAGAUCCCUAGCUGGUCUGAGAGGAGGACGAGCCACACUGGAACUGAGGCACGGUCCAGACUCCUACGGGAGGCAGCGGUGGGGAUUAUGGCACAAUGGGCGCAAGCCUGAUGCAGACAUGCCGGGUAUGUGAAGAAGGCCUUCGGGUUGUAAAGCACUUUCAGCGGGGAGGCGUUACCCGCAGAAGAAGCACCGGCUAACUCCGUGCCAGCAGCCGCGGUAAUUC